GUCAGCCCUACAGGCGAGGCAGGAGGUGGGUACCGACACCACUUCCAACAUCUAAAUGCUUCUUUAAACGGUCGCCCCGAUGUGUGGCGCGGGCCAGCUAUCCCUCAGCGCCUGCCUGUCACAGGUGCGCGCUGCCGGCAGACCGCCACAUCUGGGGGCUCGCUUCCUGUUGCAGCCCACCCUUGUCUCAGGACUCCUCUCGCGUCCCCGGGCAGCCGCCUCAGCUAACGACCACAUGAAAACGUCUCAGCACCCAAUACCAUCUAUUUCAUCUCCAUCAGCGAUGGAGAGAAUGGUCUUCGCCGCGGCUGGGCUGCACAGCAGCGCCACGGUCCCCAGCUGAGCCUGCGACCGCCAUUUUAGACAGCUCAAGGCAGCGGCCAUUUCAGAGCGCACCACUCAGUAGCGGUGGCGACUCUGCUCCUCACCUUCACCGAGGCCUGAACAGGGUCAAGAGCCAGUCGUCGCAGACUGGAGGUGGGGGGGAAGGGAAGGGAAUGAAAAACAAAACAGAGGAAAGAAGGAUUCGGGGACAGGGUGAUGCUCUCAGCUCAGGGAUAUCGUCUAAGCCACCUCCACAGAGAUCCGAUUCGCUGCUGGCGCGGUCGCGGGUCUGCGGAUAAACUUAGCACUCUGGAACACCCGAACCCUACAGUCUGCACGAGCGACUCCGCCGCUGCCCAAUCAGCACCAGAGUUGCUCCCUGCUACCAAUCCGCGCUGAGCAGCGGGGCGGGACCAAAGGAGAGGCCCAAGCUCGGUUGAGGCGCGGCCCCACCGCAGCCGUGGCGCUGAAUUGGUGAUAGCGGUGAACCUGGGCGUGAGGCGAUUGUUCUGAAACUCGCUCUCCGCCCGGGGCUGGUCUAGAGUGCAGAUGCUUGGGUGAUGCCAGAUACAGUUGGUGAUUGUGCAGGGCUGGCGUGAAACCCAGGAAUCUGCAUUUUCGUCAGCCCUGGCGCUCUGUCCAGGCAGGGGUGAUGCACGGCUGGAGGAGCGCGCAAAGCCUCGGCUGCUGUGCCUCCACCACCUCUUUGUUCCCCGAGGCCGCACCCCAGGCCAGGUUAUGCAGCCGUCGCUUCUUUUCCUUGGUUUCCUACUAGAAUCGAGAAGAAAACGCCCUCUCCCUAGCCCGCCCCACACCAGACCUCUCAGGCGGCCCCCGGUGGGCUGGGGGAGCCGCCGUGGGCGACUCGGUAGGUUCUCCAGAAGCAGAUGUUAAAACAGAGCUCCUGGAGCCAGUAUUGUAGGGCCUGACUUUGUAAAUCCUAGGGCACCAGAGGAAGAAAGUACCUGCCAGAAUAUACAAACUCAUGCUUGAGAUACCUACUUUAGACAGCCGUUCAAGAAGGAAGGAGUGGUCAAUUGGGAAAAUGCUGUGAGAUAUCAAAUGCAAUGAAGACCAAGAAGAGACCGCAGGAUUGGGGCAAUAUGGGGGUCAUUGGUAAUUUUGAAAAGAGCAGUCUCUGGUAAGUGAAGAGGGCAAAAAAUUGGAGAAGAUUGAGGAGAAACUGUGAGAUGAAGGAGUGGAGACAGCAUAUAUAGGGAACUCUAUCAGGAAGUUUUCCUGUGGAGGGUUUGAGAAGUAGUUGAUAAUAGUUGGAGGAGGUUGUGAGGUUUAAGGAAGUUCUCUUUUUUAAAUAAGAUAGAACAUGAUUAGCAUCCCCGGCCCCCACUAAAUGCCACUAGGGCUUCCCAGUCAUCAUGACAUCAAAAUGCAUCCUCAUCCAGAUUUUCCUUGGAGGGGGAAAUCCUGUCCCUCCCCCUUCUCCAACUAUAACAUGUCUGUGCAACAGUGCAAAUGAUCCAAUAGAAAGGAAGAUGCAGGAGUGAAGACUGAGAAUGCAAGAGGAGAUGGGACCUAGAUGGGGCCGGGAUGUUUUGCCCAUUGUUACAGAAAGGAAGCAAAGAGAAGGUGUACUGAAUGGGUAGGUUAGUAUUUUGAUGGUGGGAAGAUGAGGGAGAUAUAUUAUUUGUUUUUUUUUUUAAAAGGAGGUAUGAGGGGUGGAUUAUCUGUUGGGUGUAGGGGCAGGUAUUUGGGUAAUGAAUUUGAAAAGGGAGAAGAAGAUGGGAAAUAGUCAUUUCGAACCAUAGAAAGCAAAUGCUAGGAAAGUGUUGUUGGAUUGAAAGAAGAUUGAGUAUCCAUUUAAGAUUUGAUGGUAAUAAUGAGUUAGGGUGCACUUUAAAAUAACUAAAAGAGUGGAAUUGGAAUGUCCCUAACACAAAGAAAUGAUAAAUGCCUGAGGUGAUGGA